UACGUAGGGUGCGAGCGUUGUCCGGAAUUACUGGGCGUAAAGAGCUCGUAGGCGGUUUGUCGCGUCGGCCGUGAAAUCUCCACGCUUAACGUGGAGCGUGCGGUCGAUACGGGCAGACUUGAGUUCGGUAGGGGAGACUGGAAUUCCUGGUGUAGCGGUGAAAUGCGCAGAUAUCAGGAGGAACACCGGUGGCGAAGGCGGGUCUCUGGGCCGAUACUGACGCUGAGGAGCGAAAGCGUGGGGAGCGAAUAGG
rnacentral:rRNA from 1 species